AUGGCCGGCGCCGCCGCGCUCCGGCGGGCCGCCCGCAGCGCCGUCCGCAAGCUGGCCAACGCCCCCUCCCCCGCCCGUACGUUCGUGCUCCCCGAGCGCCUCCUGUCCUCCCAGGCGUCGCCGGAGCACCGCCCCCGCUCCGGCGUGUCGGCGUCGGAGCUGGGGCAGUACCCGCCGGAGCGGAUCCGGAAUUUCUCCAUCAUCGCGCACGUCGACCACGGCAAGUCCACGCUCGCCGACCGGCUGCUGGAGCUCACCGGCACCAUCCAGAAGGGCCAUGGCGCUCAGUACCUCNNNNNNNNNCAGGUAGAGAAAGAAAGGGGCAUCACCGUCAAAGCCCAAACCGCGACUAUGUUCUACAAGCAUACAGUGGAAAAUUCCGAGUCCCAUGGGACAGACACUUCAAGCUAUUUGCUUAACCUGAUUGAUACUCCAGGCCAUGUGGAUUUCAGCUAUGAGGUCUCCAGGUCCCUAGCAGCUUGCCAGGGUGCUCUUUUAGUAGUUGAUGCAGCCCAAGGUGUACAGGCACAAACAAUUGCAAAUUUUUACCUUGCAUUUGAGUCAAACCUUAGCAUUAUUCCUGUCAUUAACAAGAUUGAUCAGCCUACUGCUGACCCAGAUAAUGUAAAGGCCCAGUUGAAGAGGUUAUUUGACAUUGAUCCAAGUGAAGCUCUGCUCACUUCUGCCAAAACUGGUCAAGGCCUUAGCCAGGUGUUACCUGCUGUUAUCGAGCGUAUACCUUGCCCACCUGGGAAUUGUGAUUCACCUGUACGAAUGCUGCUCUUAGAUUCAUACUACGAUGAAUACAAAGGGGUGAUAUGUCAUGUUGCUAUUGUUGAUGGUGCAAUGCGCAAGGGAGAUAAGAUUUCAUCAGCUGCGACUGGUCGCACAUAUGAAGUCUUUGAUGUUGGCAUUAUGCAUCCUGAGCUUACCCCUACCGGAGUGCUUUACACUGGACAAGUUGGAUAUGUUAUAACUGGAAUGCGUUCAACUAAAGAAGCACGGAUUGGUGAUACUCUUCAUCAGGCUAAGACUAUCGUUGAACCACUUCCUGGUUUCAAGCCUGUGAGACACAUGGUCUUCUCUGGUGUAUACCCAGCUGAUGGUUCUGACUUUGAGGCUCUUAGCCAUGCAAUUGAGAAGCUAACAUGUAAUGAUGCCAGUGUGUCUGUUACAAAAGAGACAAGCACUGCACUUGGCAUGGGCUUCAGAUGUGGUUUCCUAGGAUUGCUGCACAUGGAUGUGUUUCAUCAACGGCUUGAACAAGAAUAUGGAGCUCAAGUCAUAUCCACCAUACCAACUGUACCAUAUAUCUUUGAAUAUGGUGAUGAAAGCAAAGUGCAAAUUGAGAACCCUGCGGCCUUGUCUUUCAAUGCUGGAAAACGUAUAACGGCCUGCUGGGAGCCAACAGUCAUUGCAACAAUUAUUAUUCCUAGUGAGUAUGUUGGGCCUGUAAUUAUGCUUUGUUCGGAAAGGAGGGGUGAACAGCAAGAAUAUACAUUCAUUGAUGCUAAUAGAGCUUUAUUGAAGUACCGAUUACCUUUGAGGGAGAUCAUUGUGGACUUCUACAAUGAGUUGAAAAGCAUAACAUCUGGCUAUGCUACUUUUGACUAUGAAGAUUCUGAGUAUCAAAAAUCUGAUCUUGUUAAGAUGGAUAUUCUACUUAACGGCCAGCCUGUUGAUGCUAUGGCUACUAUAAUCCAUAACCAAAAAGCUCAGAAGGUUGGAAGAGAAUUAGUGGACAAGCUGAAGAAAUUUAUAGAAAGGCAAAUGUUUGAGAUCACUAUACAAGCAGCAAUUGGUUCAAAGGUUAUUGCAAGGGAAACUCUGUCAGCAAUGAGAAAGAAUGUUCUGGCCAAGUGCUAUGGUGGUGAUAUCACCCGCAAAAAGAAGUUGCUAGAGAAGCAGAAGGAAGGGAAGAAGCGCAUGAAACGUGUCGGAUCCGUUGACAUCCCCCAAGAAGCGUUCCAUGAGCUACUAAAGGUCUCCAGUUCAAAGUAG
rnacentral:rRNA from 1 species